GUAAGGUCGUGAGUCAUUACCUCACCGCAAGGAGGGGGAUGCCUAAGGCAGGGCUAGUGACUGGGGUGAAGUCGUAACAAGGUAGCCGUACCGGAAGGUGUGGCUGGAUCACCUCCUUAAAGGGAGACCUAAUUCCAGUAGGAGACGAAAAAAAAGUAGUCCCUACCAAGAAUCAAUCCCAAAAGGUCGGAGCGAGGCAAAAUUGGCUUUCAAACUAGGUUCUGGGUUCACACAAGACCUGAAUCAGGAACAAGGGCUAUUAGCUCAGGUGGUUAGAGCGCACCCCUGAUAAGGGUGAGGUCCCUGGUUCGAGUCCAGGAUGGCCCACCUGCACAGGUGGAAGAAAGAAAAGAAGCUCCGAAUCAGCACCUUAUCUUACUUAUAUAGUAAGAGAGAAUGCUGGCUCUGAGUACAGAGUCCAGAGGAACCUUGAAAACUGCAUAGAGCUAGGUGAAAAAGCCAAAAAAGAAGACCGCAAGGUCAAGCUAAUAAGGGCUAACGGUGGAUACCUAGGCACACAGAGA
rnacentral:misc_RNA from 1 species